UCCCUACACCGGUGAAAUAGCCAUAACAAUCUGAGCCGGCAUCAGUCACCCACCAUGACGCCAAGCAACAGCCACACCCCCACGGACAACACAGCAGUAAUUAAUAUUAGGCCAUAAGUGAAAACUUGACCAAGCAAGAUGGAUUCAGGGCCGGUUAAUCUCGUGCCAGCGACCGCGGUUACACGAUAGGCCCAAGGUAAUAUCAACGGCGUAAAAAUGACUAAAAUUCAACCAGUCGACAUCCUUAGGGAAGAAACUAGGUUGGGCUGUAAAAAGCCAUAAACCACAUUAAUCACCCACCCUAACACUACACAACUUUGAUUCAUGAAAACUAGGACACAAACUAGGAUUAGAUACCCUACUAUGCCUAACCUUAACAUACAAUUAGACCACCAAUUGUCCGCCAAACAACUACGAGUUAUACUUAAAACUUAAAAGACUUGACGGUGCUUCACCACGCCCUAGAGGAGCCUGUCUAGUAACCGAUAAUCCACGAUUAACCCAGCCCCUCCUGGCCUAACAGUCUAUAUACCGCCGUCCCCAGCCUACCUUGUAAAAGAAAUAAAGUGAGCUAAACAGCACCACACUUAAACGACAGGUCGAGGUGUAACUAAUGGGGGGGACUAAGAUGGGCUACAUUCUCUUAACCGAGAACACGAACAACACUGUGAAAUUAGUGUUUAAAGGCGGAUUUAGCAGUAAGAUAAGAAUAAAAUACUUAACUGAACAUAACGCAAUGAAGUGCGUACACACCGCCCGUCACCCCUGCUACUACAACACA
rnacentral:rRNA from 1 species